GAGCUGAGGGCGAAGGCGAGGAAAGCUAGGAACGACAUGGCAAUUGACGCGCUAGCCAUCAAUGUGAACUCAUCUGCCCCCCAGUUUGAUAUCCAGUCGUCCACCCUGGUGGCAGCCGAAGAUGAUGCUGACAUCAGAAGGUACGCGAGAAUCUGAUACACACACAAACAGCUUUCCCUUGAGCUUAGGAAACUCGUGAUUAAAAAUAAACAUAAUAAAUGGAUACAUUCUUAUUAUACAAGCAUCCUCUGGUUUAUAUAGACUUCACUCAAUAAAACAAUGUUCUAGGUUUGUUGUUACUUUCUAAAUAAAUCCUCUAAAUCCAAAUGCGUCCUAUAAGAAUUUGAGUCGACAAAAGUUUAGGAAACAUUAAUCAGAGUGCUAUCAUGUUUAUGGCAAGCACCAUUAAACCAGGUUAAAUUACAAGUAAAUUAAAGAUAGAUACUGAUUAUAUAUCUGAAGAUUCGGUGAAAAUCCUCUUUUCAUUUUUUUUUUCUUUCUUCUUUUUUUGUUCUUAAUAAUGAUUGAGUUGCUUAUACUCAAUCUUUACAACAGAGACACAAGCCAAAUCAUAUGUAUCAGUAUAAAUAGCAUGUAAAUCAGACAUGAUAUGUCACUUGCCUGAUCCAUUGCAAAGUCGAAAUGGUGACGAAGAUGGUGGACGAAGACAUGCUUCCCCUUCCCCAAAUAGAAAGCCAGAUCAAAAGCUUGGAAACCAGAAUACACAAAUCCGAUAACAUUUACAGCUAGACAGUAUCUGUUUGAAACAACAUAGACAUACAAUAUCUAUUAGGUUUAUUAACACAUUAGUUAAAGAAGGAUGCAACAAUUAGUUUAACGCUAUGCUAUAAAAUCCAGCUGCAUCACUUCCUUCUUACAACCCCGAUUACCAGGUAAAUAUCUUUGCGUUCAUCACAAAAUCGUCCUUAAUGUCCAAUUACGAAAAUUAUAGGAAAAGAACUGUGAAGAAUAGGCUUCUUGAUCUACGAAGAAAGAAUCACGCUCUGUAGGAUUUGAACCUACGACAUCGGGUUUUGGAGACUCACGUUCUACUGCACUGAACUAGGAACGCUUUCUUAUCACAGUAGAUACGACUGUAAAGAAAAAAGGAUUCAUAUUGUAGAAUUACUGUUGGGUAAUUUGGCCAACCAAUCUGGUUCAACCAAGACUAUUAAAGCAUUUCGUAGGUCGAAAGUGAUAGAUAUCCAAUUUAUGAGAGCAAAACUAAGGGAAUAUUCUUGUAUUAUUAUGACUCAUCCUGCUCUGAGCAAGCUCACUGCUACAGAGUUUAUAAUGACAUAGCCAGAGCAAGUUAAUAUUUAGCUGAUAAAGCAACUUCUGGAAGUUUUAACAAAUAAUAAGCUAGACCUAAGCCUUUGGAAACAUCAGAAAUCCCGAAUGCUUGUAGUCAACAUGUUGCCACAAUACCACACAUAUUUUCCCAUCUGUUAGUAUCAAAAUGUACUUUGGUGCUUUCUUCUGACAGUCAGAAGCAUAAACUUCAAUGGAGCACCAGAAUUACCAAGAACAUAACAUACGAGGUUACAUAAGUCGAAACUUCAUGCUGGAGCAAGAGGCUACAACGUCUCUUGUUUGCACGACUAUUGUACUUUUCAUUCUGUCAAAUAAGCCCGUGAUUCGAAGGACUGUCAACUAUUAUACCAAUUAACAAAUCUCAUGCAAACGCUAAGGGUAACAGCAGGUUAUAAAGUUGGCAAAAACUUGUGUACAUCCCAAUUAGGGCUCACCAAUCCUCAAUUAAUUAGGGUUUAUUAAUCUCCAAUUGAGGUGUACUGCUUUCUAGUUAUGGUUUAUUAAUCACAAUUAGGAUUUAAUUAGGGCCGAAUGUGCCUCUAAAUCUAAUAUACAGAUUCAUUUAUCUUAACUUACAAUCAACAAUUUGAUUCAAUCUCAAGAAUAAAAAUGUCAGCUUGAGCAACACACACUAGCUGCACAUAGUAAUAAUCCAACAUAACAAUAUUAAUACAUAAUCCACAGAAACAUUGGAAGCAAUCAAGAUAUAUAGGUGAAAAACAAGUAAGAAUUUGAUGGAAACGGUGAAAGAAUCAUACCGGUAUUCGAUAUACCGAUCAAAGGAAUCGCCGCUCCAUCCUUCAGUCUUAUCAGCAGCCAUAACCGAAAAUGAAAUCAAACAAGCAAUCACCUCAAACACUCGAAACGCCAGCGCCACCCUCCUCACCGCCGUAUUCCUCCCCGACCUCUUCAAGAUCGACUCCACCGCCGCCCUCGACCGCCGCUCCCCACCCACCACAUCCCCCCCGUACCCCUCCUCCAACGUCGCACCACCACCAACCGGCCCCACCUUCUUCACGGCCGCAGGCGGCUCCUCCCUCACAAACUUAUUAAGCCCCACAACCGCCGUCGCCGGAAUCUCAAGAUUCUCCGCCGGACGGUUUACUUUCUCCCCCUCCUUUCCGCCUCGCGGCGGAGCGCUCACCGGAAUAUCAAGAUUCUCUGAUGCGGGCUUUUCCGAGUGGGGCCAGCGCCGCCAGCCCUUGCCCACGGCGGCCGGAGAACUCUCCGGAAUGCCGGAUUUCCCCGGAGACGGCACGGGGGAGUAGUACUUGUCCACCAGAACUAUGGCCUUGUCGUUCUUGUCGCCAGGAUCAUCAUUUUCCGGCCGGAAAGUGGGAUCGUCGGAGCGGAGCGGCGACUCGGAACGGAGAGGCGAGUGCCACGAGUCGACCUGACUCGUCAUCGACUCGGUGUCCGACAUGGAUAUGUGGCUGUUACUGUUUCUUCGGAAACUCCGUUUACUAUGAUUGCUGGCGUCCGCGCCUUCCAUUUUUCAAGAAAUUGUGAGCAAACGGAGCUGAAAUUGAAGAAAAAGGAAUAAGUGAAGAAAAAAGAGGAAGUGGAAGGAGCGAAUGGGAUGUGUGUUUAUGCUCUCAAAUGUCGGAAAGGAUUCUAAUUCUGUGCCCAAUGGACCAUGCUAACACCUUGUGGACUCAUUUGUUUUUUAGUUUCAGUUUAACAAUUCAUAUUCGUGAUUUAUACUUUAUCAUUUUGUUUGCUGCUCCUCUCCUUUCUCAAAUAACUUUCUGAGAAGCGCAAAUUUUAUGAUGAAAAUGUGACAAGAUUAAAAAAUAUAAAUAAAAAAUUAGAAAUAAUGAUAGGUAAAAAGUAAAAAUAAAUAAAAUAUUAUUAAUAGUAUGAUAUAAUUCGGAAAAAAAAAUUGAGACGAUCCAAAAAUAAACGUUAAGAAAUUAUUUGAGGGGGGCGAAUAGAAUAUAAUAUUGAUAUUAAAUAUUACUUCGAGUUGGUUAUUCUAUAAAUAACUUAUAAUGUAUGCUUAAUUGAUUUUUUUGGAUACAUGAUUAAUUGAUUACUAUUAUAGUACAUGUGUUAGAUAUUAGUAUAUGACUAGUAUUGACCUUUCGUUCAAAGAAGAUUUGAAAUUUUUGGCUCUCCUAAAGCAGAUACUACAGCCUGUAGUUUUUUUAUUUUAAUAUUAGUAGUACUAGUAUAACUUUUGAUUUGAUGUGGUUUAUAUACACACAGUUUCUUCAAGUGUUUCUUUUGGGGUGGUGUCCACGUGGCAAGUGGUGGUUGGGUUGUUUGAUGGAGUGAUGUGUAGAGUAGCAACUCCUGUAGGAUUCUCCGGGGGGGACAGUUAAAAUUCUUUACGUCGUAAUUGCGUUUACUGAACCUUAAAUAUUUUCUAAAAACAGUCCAACAAGGCCUCAAUUUGUAAUUUGAUUUAAAAUGUGAUAUUUUCCACUACUAGACUAGAGUACGUACGAGUACGACAUAUAAUGUCACAGAUCUUAUUAUUUCAUAUCUAGAUAAAUGGACGCAUUAUUGAAAUUUUGAAUUGACUUAAGGAGUCGUCUAGUAGAAUAUCGUCAAUUAUAAUUAUUAAUUCUAGGUUCCUUUUUUUUUUUCGUCCUUUAAAUGGACAUCAAGCAGUGCGAACUUCUGUCUACGAACAGUGAGGUUUAGGGAUCAAAUCUCACCGCUUCCUCUUCCUCAAAGUAAAAAAAAUAAAAUUCUAGUUUCCUUUUUUCCUUUCAAAAAAUUAUAGGUUCCUUUUUAUUUAUUUUUUAUCCUCAUUAAAACAUAAUUUCGCUUUAGUGAAUUAGCAUGUCUAAUGUAACAUUUUCAGGUAUUAUAUGAACUAAUUAAUUAAUAGUUGAAACGUCUCACUCUCCCUUAAAUCAAUGAGGUAUGUGAUUAAGAUAUCAAGUAUAAAAUUAUACCAGUCAAAAGCAUGAUUUGGCAUAAAAUGGCACGUUAUGUCGUGUAAAAUUUUUAUAUAUAAAAAAGUAUACUAAGUAUGUGUGCAUCUGGUUCUGGUAUAUACUCCCUCCGUCCGUCAAAAGUAUUCCACUUUGGCCGGGCACAGAGUUUAAUAAAAUGUGUGAUGAUGUUGAUGUAGUGGAGAAAUGACCCCACCACUUUAUGAGAUGUGUGGUUGAGAUUGAAUUUGGGGUGGGUUUUUUGUAAAUAAAGAGUGUUUGUAAGGAUAAAAUAUAAAUGUGGAUGGUGGGACCAUGACUUAAAAAAGAAAGUGGAAUACUUUUUACGGACGCCAAAUAUAGUAAUUGUGGAAUACUUUUGGCGGACGGAGGGAGUAUUAAUUAAUGCAAAUAUGCAAUAAUACUUUGUUUUGAAGAAGAGUUUCUAUCCUGCUCAAGUACUAUUUGAGUAACUUAAUAUAAGUAUGUAAUUCUGAAAAAACAAAUUAUUGGACCGCCCACAAUAAGAGAGAAAAGAGACUACUUUGUUGUUCGACCAAUAAAACAAUUACAACCCAAAAAUCUUUAAGGCUAAAGACUGAUUUUUCUUAAUUUGAUUUUGAUCGCAAAAUAUUAUCACCAUCCUAAUAUUUUAUAACCUUGACGCUUUUUCAUGUUGAAAUUAGAUUUUUUUUUUCAAAAGGUCCGAAUUUAUUUUACCAUAUUUUCCGAAUAAAUUCUGUCAAAUACUAUUCUACGGAAUAAAAUUCCAAAAGAAGCUCUAGGGGUAUUUAAUUCCAUCGUAUCUUUAGAGGUAACAUAAAAAGGCUAUGUCCAUAUCCAAUUCCUGCUUUAAGUCAAUUUCACCCAACUCAAAGUAUAUUUUUUUUCCAGAUUUCAGAAUAAGCUACCUUCGUCCCAAAUUAAUUUGCUGAUUAUGGACAAAUGUAGCAGCCCUUUUGGCCAUUCAAAAGCGAGAAAAAAAUUGUGGGAAUUUAAAAUAGUGAAAGUGAGUGAGAAUCACCUUUGUCUGCAUUCCCUUUUUUUUAGGUAAUGUUAUAUGCAAAUUCCUUUGCUUUUUCCCUCUUUAUUCCUGGAUGUUCUUUUCUUGGAUCUUUCAUCCAAUAAUCGACCUUCUCUAGUUCCUUGGGCUAUAUUUGGGUCCAAAAUGAAGACUUUAUAAUUAAAAAAAAUGCUAAUUAUUUUAGUGAUAAUAAUAUUUAAUGUUAAUUUAAUUUAUCAAUAAAAGCUUCAUUUUCAAUGUAUAUAUCACAUUAAUAAUAAUAAUAAUAAUAAUGCUAGAAAUUGAAGAUUAAUUAAUCAUUAGAUAAAAUGAAAUAUAAUAUUUUACUCAAAUUUAAGAGAGGGUUAAAUGUGUGAUGCAAGAAAUAAAAGCAAAUAAUUUAAAUUAUUAAUUAUGUUUCAUAAUUUUUUAGACAAUGUAAUGUAUAACUAUUAUUUUAUAUUAGUCCUUAGUGUCUUGAUAACAAUGUGAUUUAUGAAUAUUCCUAAAUUGAAAAAUGGUCAUUCUAUUCAUAGCCUCAUUUGUACUCUUUAUAGCCUCAUUAAAAAUAAUAAUUUAUACAGUAUAUUAAUUUACCCUCAUAACUCUCAUAUUCAAUUCUUCAUCUUACGGAUUUCGUAGCCCCCCAAAUUCCAUAAUACAUGAAGUCUGCAAAAUUGAUAAAUAUAAAAAACAUUAUAAAACCCAUUGUGCACAGAGAAAGAGAUGAAGACACAUUGAUGAGUUUGAGCAACUGAUUCUGAAUAAACCGAGCACUUCUCCAACAUGAAGACAUAAGAUCAAACUUAUCAGACUGCAAAGGAAAAAAAGAAACUACAACUCCAAAUUUGCCUCUAAUUUCAUUUUAAAGAAAACUGCAGACUCAUAGCAGCAACGAGAAAGAGAGUAACAAUUAUUGAACAUCAAACGACAUCUUCGAAUCUAUCAUCUAUGAGAUGUAAUUUCAUCGUUGUCGCUUCACUCUUCAGACUGUCUCUGACCCACAACUGAAAUAUCCUCAUAUCUUUUCCCAACGUUGAUGUGGUCCCAUAGAGCACGAAUUCCACGGUCCACAGCGCGUUCACCGAGAGUGCGACGCAUACCCUCCCACACGCCGCCGCCCCUCUUCUUAACCGCCGAUUCCAUUUCCAAUCGAUGCUUUUUUACAACAUAAAUUAGGCAGCGGACGAAACUCUUUCCUAAUCUGUCAAGUCUCUACGACGCGAUGAAGGAAAAAUGGAGAAACUCAUCCAAGGCAAAUACAUAUAUAGAUAAAUAUUGCUUUCAGAAAAAUAAAAUGUUUACCAAUCAAAUAAAAAUUGAAUCUUGUUAAAAUUCACAGAGAGAGAGAUGUCGCCUGACUUCCCACCAUUGAUGGAUGAAGAAGCAACUCUGACAAAUUAUGUUAAUUCACAAUUGCAAUUAUUCAACAUGAAAUCAACCCAUAUCAACACAAUUUCAAAGGGUUCGAUUAUCCUCUUAGCGCUUCUUAUUUCGACGAUUUUCCACUUCUUCUUCUUCUUCUUUUCCAGAUUUGAGGUUCGUUCUGGGAAUAUGGGUGGCUAUGGGGUUUAAGGAUUUUUUAGGAAUUUAAUGGUAGAUUAAGGAUAAAAAUAGUAUAUUUCUUUUUUUUCAUAUUUUAAUAUGUUUUAAAAGACUAUAAAGACUAAAAAUGGGGCUAUGAGUCUAUGACUAGUAUUACCCAUUUAAAAAAUAUCUCCUCAUUCAGCUAUUUGUGAAAGAGUGGGUUAACCCAAUACCCCUCAUUCAGCUAUUAGAACAUCCGCAUCAGAAGAAAACAAAAAUUUCAACUAAUUACUUUAAUUUGCAAAACUAUACAGUCCAAUAAAUAUUUGGGUAUUAAAGAAGGCCCAUUUAAUGAAUUUAUGGGCCAGAAUCACCUGUUCGACAGUAAUACUUAUAAUUCCGAAUUGGGCCAGUUUGAUCUUUAGUUUCUACAGAUUUAUGCUGGUUCAUUCUGUUAAUUAUCCAAGAGUUACCAACUUACCACCCAUUUUUUCUUCUUUUCUUCUUUUUUUUACUUCAGGUGACAAACACUAAAAAAAAAAAAAAAAAAAAAAAAAGAUAUUGAAUAUAUUUUUUUGGUACGAGGAACAAAUAAUUUCAAAAAAGUGUGAUGAUGGGCUCAAACACAUAUUAAUGUUUUCUUUAUAUUAAUUGUGGUAAUCUGUAUAAUUGCAUACACAGAUUAAUAUUUUCUUUAUAUUAAUUGUGAUCAUUUGUAUAAUUGCUCCAUUUAUCCAUACAUAUGGACAAGUUGAGAACUUAUACAUUAAAAUGAUUGUUUUAUUGGAUUAGCAUUGUAGACGUAAUAAUAUGCACACAUAUGCAAGUGAUAAAGCUGAUGCAUCCAAAGCUGUGAGAGAUCUUGGGUCUUUUGUGUGAGUAGUGUUUUUAUUUUUGUGUGAAUAGUGUUUUGCCUGCAUGCGGUUGUUUUAUCACCUUUUUGUGAUGUAGAGGUCCCACCUGCAUACGAGUUGCUUAUUUGAUUAUAUAUUAGACAUGCCUCUUAUAAUUCUCAAAAUAAUAUGCACACAUAUGAAUAUAGAAUAAACUUUCGAAGAAAACUUUUGUAUAUAUUUCAUGAAAUUUGUUCGACGUAUGCCGAAAAUCCAUUCAAUGCAACCGACUUUUACUCCUGAGUCUUGACUUGGAAUAUUGAAUAGUGGUCCCAUUCCUUGAUUCCAACAACGUUAGAUUAAUAAUUAAGAAAUCAUAUUCGGUUUUUUCUUUUAUGCAGUUACGUGUAUUUUUAUAAUUUUUUUUUUGAAACAGGAAGGAGGAAAUAUAUUACGGAAAAUCGAAUAUUACAAUAUCAAGAAGCCAAUCCGAAAAAUCGACCUUUCAGAUAAUAACAUCAAAAAAAGCAAAUGAAUAUCGAGCAAGCUCAUAAGCCGCACAGUUAGCCUCAUGACGCAUAUGAAUAAAAUUCAAAACGACAUGAUGGCGAGCAUGAACAAACACAUCCCAUUUAUCGCCUCUGUCAAACAUGU
rnacentral:lncRNA from 1 species